CAAUAUUUGCCUGUGACCUAAAAAUCUCUACCUUCUUUAUUUUUGCUUUUUAACACGAAAAUGUGGGACUCCUCGGCUGAGAACUAAGUUCAAGAAGCCAUCUGAUGACUCACUUCAGUUGUUACCACUUUUCCUAACGCUUAGUCAGAAUUGUACUCCUCUGCCUCUGCCUGUGCUUUUGACCCCUGAAGAAGUGUUUCCUAGGAGCUCGGACCACUAUUAUGUCAACGAGUAAUCAGAUAAACUUUAAUUGAAAAAAUAAGUCAGGUCUCAGAGAAGUUCAGCGUACAGAGACACAGAAGAGCACACGUGUUCAGAGACAGCUUUGGAGGUGCAGGUGGUGCCCUGGGUGAAGAGUGUUGCUUUUAUGAGAGGUCAUCACCUUCUCCUCUAGCCACAGAAAGAAGUAAUUGAGGUGCUUGGGAACUCCCAGAUAAAAGGACUGAGCAGUAUCAAGAGCAAAGUUUGAUCUGUGGCUGCAAAUGGCUGUAAGGGCCAGCUCAUUCUGCAAUUCAUCACAGGUUCUUCUGUAUCCUCCACCCGCUACAAUAAGCCACACUGCGGUUACAAGAUACAAAGCUUGUGAAACUCCCUGUGUUACAGGAGGGAGAGGAAAGAGGUGGAAGGAAGAGCCCCAUUAACAGACGAAGUGCUGCUUGUUCUGUUCACACCAUCCUGCAGAUCCCCAGUGUAUAAAAUCGACAUUUUGCUUCACAACGCAGAAAUCUUCCCAAAAGCUUCUCUCUUGGCCCAAGGAAACAGGCCUUUGCUUCUUAGGGUCCCCAGGAAUUUGCAGGACAAGCAGUAUGGCUUCCCAGGUCCCAGGACAUUAGUGUGGGGUGUGGACCCUAGCGAGUGAUCUGUGCUGUGCAGCUAGCUACCUCCAUCCAGCCCUACUCCAGGAAGCCUCUGCGCAUGCUGACAUUGGACAGAGCCAACCUCUGGCAGGCAGAGAGUGUGUUUCUGCCACCUGCACGGGAAAUUGAGGGUGGUCAGGAACGGCUCAGUUCAGGCUAAAUCUCCUAGCAGUAGCUGACUGACACAGACACAAGCUGUUGAAGAUGACGUGACCUGGGGCAGCGCAGAUCUGGUCUGAGCGGGUUGUAUACUUCCAGUGCAGAGACAGGCAGGCACCAUAAAACCUCCUGCUCCAACCACUUUUUUGCCAGACCCCUCUGCCAGCUGGCUUUCUAGUGUCUGUCUGUAGCAGAAGACCUGGUACAACCCUUCCCCAUUUCCCCCAUCUGCAGGCUAAAGAAGGCAUAUACCUAUCCUACUACUAUCAGGUAAAACGCAACUCCCAGGAGACUCUUAAGAAGACUAAACCCUGCAGCUAAGUAUUUUUACAGCAUCAAUAGGCUAUUGUAGCUGUAAAUGAUAUUCCCACAGUUCAUAGAAACAUUCUGCCUUGCUCUGAAUGUUUCUAAGCUUCUCAUCUCAAUAGCAUUUCAUAGCAAUGAGGUCAGUGGGCAAUUUUAUGUAAGAAAGCUUUUCCACUUAUCAGCUUUAGAUCUGCUGCCUCUAAUUACAUAUAGUAUCCCCAUAGUUCUAUAUUGUGAAUGCUUGAUUCAUUUUUCUCUACCUUUUGUUAUUUAAUGUGCCCCUAAUAUGUUUCAUUUUUAAUUCACUUAUUUCUUUACCAAGUGCUCUUUUUAAGUCUCCCUUCAUAUGGAAGCAGUACCAAGGUUAUGUUCGUUUUUAUUGCCCAGGUAUGUAUUUCUAGCGUAAUUUAUUUGAGAUGGGCUGACUAAAUCUGGAUUAGAUAGACUACACAAGGAUACACUAAUGUUCUGCAUAGCAGAAUUAAGGUAGUCUCCCUGAUGUUCUCUAUUUUCUUUCAAAUAGUAUAUAUAGUAUUUUUUAGCAACUGCUCUACUCUGUUUCAUUGAACCCGUAAGAAUGUCUACAGCUUUUCUGGAAAAAUUAAAGCUGCUGUAGAAUUACGUAUUUUACAUUCUUUCUUCUGCUCUUGGCUGUCCAGCAAUCCUCUCUGAGUUCUGUCUCACGUUAGGUUGCCCAACCACCGAGUUUUGCUCUUUUUUUCUAAAAUUCUAAAAACAUUCCUUUAUAACAACGAGUAAUGGAAGUAAUUUCAUAUUAUGUAGAAAGCUUGUCCCUUUACUUUUUACUCAUUCUUCCUAGGCACUAAUGAAAGUUUUGAUGUGUCAGAAAUCUUCACUGUCUUCGAUAUUGCAAUUGAGAACCCAAAACUUACACAAAAGCAGUUCAAGGCUAAUAUUAGAAGAAUUAUCCUACAAGCAAAUAGAAUGUCAUAGGCAUCUAAGCGAGGAACAGACUUACAGUGAUGAACUGAUAUCAUAUAAAUAUAUUAUUGGUUGUAUGGGUCAGGCUUUGUCCACUGCCAGGAACAGCACUAGUGAAAGCGCAUGUAGCCCAGUGUAAACCAUCCGCAUCCUCACUAUAUGCAACACAGGUUGCCCUUUGGCACGUCUAUCCAUACAUCCUAAAGGUGUGGCCGCAAGGUCCUCUGCCCUAAACUCAACCAAUAUGUAGUAGGCGCAUGCUGUGACACUGCUAUGCAAUCCUAUAACAGCAUGGCUAUGUCCCGACUGGGGCAUAAUCCACCUUCAAGGUGCAGCCUGCCCGACUGCUAGCUAGCUUGCUCUUUUCCUUCCACGUCAGGCUGUGGACACACGGCAUAUCACUCUGCCUUCUGCUCUCCCUCCAUUAGCUCCUCACCAUCUGACCAAGAGCCUGGACGCAUCUUCCCAGACAGAGCCUGCAGGCUUGGGGCAGAACAGAGAAACAGAUCAUGAGAACAAGAGAACGAUUUAAUUAUGGUGUGGAUUUUCAUAGCCAACUGCAAGCCAAUUUAAAAGCUGGAAAAUAAAAAGUGGAAAACAACAAAAACGAAGAAAAUGUAUAGAAGCUGAGAAAGGGAGUUUUAAAUUGGGUUUAUUUAAAAGGUCAUCUGUACAAAAGCUUCUUUAAUCAGCACACCUAUGCCUUCUGUCAUGCUGAGACACAGGGCUCAGGCAGUUGCUUUCGUUGCACUCUCUGGGGGCAGCUAUAUUCCUUUGCUGCUGGCAAGGCACCUGAUGCUGCAAUAAGCUUGCCACUUCAGCCCAGAACUACGGCGUUAUCGAUAGGAAUUCCUUUGCAGCACAGAAAGGAAGCCAAAAUUCCUGAUUACAUCAAAAUUGUAAAAUAUAUAGGCAGAAAUCUCCAUAGUAGCACUUUGCUACUGAUGAGCCAUAAGAUGCUGUGCGUGUACAAAGUGCUUUUGAUCCAAGAAUCUCAAAGCAUUCUUGUGAAUUCAGUAAGCUUCCACACACCACCUCUGCUGAGUGUCUGACCAGAAUCAUGCCUAUUUUACAGGGAAAAAACUAAGGCAGAGCAAUUUGUUCAAGGUGACGCAGCAGACAAUUAACGGAUAUGAGUAUAUGAAUAAAGAUUCCUCACUUUUUAGUUUGGAAUAGGUGUGUCAACAGCACGUGGGAAAGGAAACUCUCUGGCACUUUAUGUAGUCUUGGGCAGGUAUUUAUUCCGAAAGUAUCUUAAUUGCUUGAUCAUAAAAUUAAAACAGAUUAAAAGUACAAUCACAUCAGUGGACCAGAGAAUUCAUGAUUAUAAUGUAUUUUGAAGAUAAAACUAUUGCAAUAACCGCAAAGGCACUCAGAUGAAUCUAGCAAAUUUUACAUGUAACUAACAAGUGUUGGUCAUGGGCAUACGAUAAACAAUUAGGCUAGAAUAUGUAAUAUCUAGUAUGUACCAUGUUUACCAAAAAACCUGUAAAACUUGUAUAUUUUACUGCUUUGGUGAAAAGACAUUGAAAAAGAUAUUGUCUAACAGAUUAUCACUCGCAAAUAAAGCCCAUUAAAGUUGCUUUUAGAGCCCUAAUAUAAAUAUGAUCCUACUUCUGUUUUUUAAAAUAUGUUUCAAACGGUAUUAACUCUUCACACUUCAGUCCACAUGCACAUGUUGU